CAAGAUAUAGUUUGACUUGCAUUUUGCCAAGUUUACAGCAUGGCUUGGCGCUGCUUCCUUUUAUUUCUUUUAGAAGAACAUGGUCCAUACUUAUGAGAUGAGAAGAUGUGGAAAAUAAACAGAUACAACUAUUAUCAUUAUUCAUUUUCAGAGGUAUCAAACAGAAAAAUGGGCUUACUUGCACAUUAAAUAAGAAAUUGUUUAUAUUUUGGUCUCUAAGAACUACGGGAAAAAAAAGGCUAAACCAAAAUACUUUAAUUGAGCUACUGAACAGCAACUAAUUGAUGCCCACAUGUUUAUAUGUCCAUAUUUAAGAAUACAACUUUAAAUUAAGAUCCCUUGAAUUUCCUUUUCCAUUAAAAUUUUAUGAUAAGAAUGAUUACUGAACUAUUUGGCCCUAAAUAUACAAGUUAGCCAUUGUAGAAAAAGUAUAUGAUAUUACUUUCUUCCCCACUUUGAAGUUCAAUGAGUCCAUGCCACGCCUAGUAUCAGCAUCGUCCAAAACGUCAUCAUGAAUAAGGCUCGAUAUCUAAGAUGCAAGGGAGAAGACAAGUCACUAAAACAAAUAUUUCUGAAUGUUUCGGAAAGUGGAAUGAAACAAGACGCCUAAGAUGCGUACAUGAAUCAUUUCAGUUAUCUCAGCAAGAUGCAUAUGCCUUGCUCGAGGCUUAUUCUCUAAGCCAUCAGCUAUGCCCAUGCUUAUAGCUGAAGCCAUCAACAGUAGAACCUGAAACAUCAAUAGUCAGGAGCUUACAAUGGUGAAACUGAACGAGUAAAUUAUAUAUACUUGUGUCUACUAAAAAAAGUACAUAUCUAUGGUAUGAUGAUAAGAUACAAGAACACACUAUGAAAUCUGGUCUUACAGUAGGACAAGUUCUUUUCCCUUCAGCUCCAGCUCUGAAGAAGUAUCCAGCUGCUGAUGUCAGUUCAGGCACCUGUGGAGAUAACACAUAUAUUGAGUUCCAUACGCCAAAUAGCUCAUCCAAAAGCUUAAGCUAUUGGGAAAAGGUGGGUGAUGUAGUUUAUAGUAUUUCAUGGUACAGAAAAAAAAAGGGUGAAAGUAUCAUUAUAUAGUGUAAUUCAAGCAAAGAUUACAGUUAAAUUAUGCACCUCAGCAACCACCAUUGAGCGCAAUCGAUCUGUCACUUCAGAGACUUCAUCUUUAAUCAGCACAAAGGGGUCUAGCUGCUCCUACUACACAGAAAAAGGAAUGGUUUUGUUAGGAGAACAGAAUUCUGGCACAUGUGAUUGCCUUACAUGGUUGAGACAAGAGUGACAUGACUAUACAGUGACAAUAACAACCCAGUUGUUUGCCUUACUAUGCACUCAAUAGACUCACCACCCUCUGAUUCAUGCUUAAAUAGAAUAAAAUAAUCUUUGUAGCAUCAUGAUAAAGGAGUCUGUAUGACCAUAUCUACCUUAGCUGUUAGCCCUGCUUUUCUGGAAGAAUGAUCACUUGUGCUGUGAAAAUAACAUGAACUCCAAGUAAAUCUGUCCCAAUAGCACAUAUUCUGUGAAGCAAGAAGCCAAGAAGGUGGUGUCAAAGCAUUACAUAGUAUUGUGAAUUUAGGAUACUGGAAACAUUUGACAUGCGUGCAUACAUGUGGAUUAAAUUUGAAUGGGCAGUUGAAAUGCAUUGUAAACACAACCAAACUUAUGUUUGACUGCGGGAUGUUAGAGCAGCAUGUGAGUAUGGAUUCCACUUUUCUGGUAGCUGUGUUCUUGUAGCAAGUGGGCAUGGAUUUCCAGUUUUCCACUUCUCUGAUAACCAAUACAUGUGAAAGCAACGAAUAUGUUUAGAGGCCUAAGUCUGCCAAUAUUCCUUCAAUCCUGAAAGAAAUAAUCUUUCUUGUAAACUGCAUAAUUGUUACAGGGAGGAAGUCAACGCACUGCUUUGGUGUAGUAGCAAAAGGGAUGCAAGCUGCACAAAGGAUAUUAACAAGCUCUAACGUAGAAUGAUAAUCCAACUGCUACGCUGACAAAUCAGUGAAAUCGAAUGAACUAACCAAGAAUUCAUAAUGAAAUACAUUUCCUCCUCAUCAUGCUAAAAUGCUAAUACCAAGAAAAGGGAACCAUAGUUUUUAAGAGUAGAACAUGGUGAAGUAUCAGCGAAUCUGCAAAGGCAGCAUCUGCUACUGGAGCAGAUAAACUAACCAAUUCGCGUCGCGGUUCCAAACUAUUGAACAACAGUUGUCAAGCUCCCAUUUGCCACAAGCACUGCUGCAAUGACCCUACGUGCCGUUGCAUUGUGUACAGUUUUGCUCAAGCCUUAUGGAUGUUGUCACUAUGGCACUAAAGCUGCGGUGUACAUUUCAAUCCACGACAUAAUGCAACUCUGCAAGGUGGAGAUGCAAAAUUCUUACAUUAGCAUUUUAGUAAGUAUCUCCCACGAAACCGCAGAUCCAGAUUUGUUCUCCCUCUCAGUUAUCGGACAGCAACGCAUCGACGUGACAAAAAGAAACCUUUUGCAAAAUUACAGAGGGGCAAAGAAAAAGUAUCCCCAAAUGAAGAACUCAUAGAUGCGGGAUCCGUAAGUCUCACCGUUGGCAUUCGGGGAGCAGAGGAAGCGGUGGAGGCUGAGCGCAGGAGCCCAGCGAGAAGAAGCCGUCCCGGCAGCAUCAUGGCCGGUCCCAAUCGCCGGGGAGGCCGCCUGAGGCCUGGCCACCGCUGCCAGCGAGAUGCGUUGACCAGAGCCAAAUGCCCCGCUCAGCAGCACUGCAGCAGCAGUGGGCUUGCGGAAGGAAUGCCGAAUGCCCCGCUCUACUUUUUUUUUAAACAUUAUUUUCCCCUUUUAUUCUCUUUCUUUACUCUACUGAUUUUUUGGAAAUGACUAUAUUUCAAAAAUGUAUUUAAAUCGAACUUUAGUUAAAAUAUAUUUUUAAUAAGAAGUGAGUAUUACUGCAGGAGAAUAUAACGGUGGUGCCAGCGGUCUAUUUGAAAUGGUAUUGAAGGAUACUGAAUUUUAUUUUUUACAACAAUGGUGCGUAAUAUGUUGCAAAAAAAUCUACAUAUUAAUAUCAAUGUACACAUUUUAUUAAAAAAAUAGAUGAACACCCAAAAACAACCUGAGUACUAUGUAGGAUCUAGUUGUUGAAUUGAGUUGGAUGGAAUUGGAAAGUUCAUAAAACUUAUCAUGUGUUUUUUUAGUACUUAUCAUGAGUUAAAAAUCAUAAAAAAAUGUAGGAUCUAUUUUGGAGAGUCUGCAUGCGGUGUAUGCAAAAGGUGUGCCGUGAGUCUCUUCUCCGCAAGGUUUGUAAACUGUUUCUGCAAUUUUCGCUCUUUUUAAUAUAAUGAUGCGUUUUUUAUCAUAUACUUUUUAGAGCGUCGGUAACGUGAACCUCAAAGAGAACGAACUAGAUUCGCCAAACUGAAAGUUAGCCUAUUGCAUAUGCACGGUGUGUUCCAAACAGAGUUGAAGCCUCCGUAGCCGAUGCCAACAGAAAAAAGAAAAUUACGCGCAGAGAAUGGAGAAAUGAACAGAAACAAAGCUAGAGAGCGGGCGCCCGUGUGAUUGAGUUAACAUCAGGGUCCGAGUCCCAUGGUGUCUCCGGAACAAGGUUCCAAAAUAGAGCAUAAUACAGACAAAUCGAGAGGGAAAAAGCAUAUGGAAAAGCACACGAACUUUCUUUUUGUCACCAGAAAAAGCAUAUGUUUAGAAAGCAUAUUUUUCAUGCUUCCUAAACAUCGGUUGGCAGAGAUGGCAACACUUGACAGAAUUAGAAGGUAUGAACAACAUGAGCAUCUGAUCUCUUAGUUGACAAAAAUACAAAAGCCACCUCGGAUUUGAACAUGCUGCUAUUUCAGUGCACAUAGCCAUCUUGUUUCUUUUGCUGAUUCUAAAUUACAAGUUCCUGAUUACAGGAUUCCUAUUCUUUCCCUUCAUUUAAAAAGGAACAAACAAUUAGUUUGAUGCUUGACUACUUUAUGUUCACAGAAUAUUUCCUAGGCAGGGCAGAGCACGAUCUCUCACUACAUCACAGUAGUGCAAGUGUGAUAAAAUCGAGGAAUCCCCGGUCAUUAUCAGCUAUGAGGAGUAUAUAAAGUCACAAAACGAGCAUUAUCCUUGUAAUUUUUCUCUAAAAUGGUUAUAAAUAUUACAUGGUACAUGACCACCCACUUAAAAUUCUCACGGAACUUAAAAAAAGGUCUCAUGGAAAAAAAUUAACUACAAACUACUGAAAGAUGCAUUACAUUUUGCUAAAUGAGAUCAGCUGGCGAGAAACAAGCGACAGCAUACAAAAACUACAAAUGAGUGAUGUGUUAUACUAGUGCAAGUUCGUAGUUUACAACAUAGUACCUCUAAUUGUAAAUCAACAGAACAGAUUAAUGUAACUUUGCAACCUUCUUGCUAUGGCUUUGUGUAAUGCCCCGUUGCCAUCAACGACUCGCCGGCGACGUGAGCGCAAACACCAAUAGGAAUUAGGAGGUAGUUUCGAGAACUAUAGUUUUCAUUCACAAGUCAAUACUGAUUACAAUUGUUACCCAUCCGACACACUUAAUACCCUACACACAGGCUAACAGCCCGGCCCUACCUGUAUGUCACACACACAUACAAAACACACCACUCACUCCUGAAGACGUACUCCUAGCGCUGCUCCUUCUCAGUCACAACCGGGCAUUACAUCUCCCCCGGCUGCAGAAGUUGCUUGUCCCCAAGCAACGGCGUCAGGAAACCUGUGCUUGACAACAUAGAAAUCUUCCCAAGUAGAAGAAGUAGCAGGAAUGCCAGUCCACUUGACAAGAAUGUGAGGAAUUGCUCUGGAUCCCUUCUUGACCAGGCGGCAAUCAAGCACAGCUUCUGGUGACAGGUUUUGUACAGACAUAUCUGUCAAUUUAGGCAGCUCCUUGAAGACUGGGGUGUAGUUGGGUGUGAAUGGCUUGAGUUGAGACACAUGGAAAACUGGAUGAAUGAGGCUUCCCUCCGGCAAUUUCAACUUGUAUGCAGCCUGUCCCAUUUUCUGUUCCACCUCAAAUGGACCAAAGUAUUUGAAGGCAAGUUUGAGAUAACAUCUGGUUACCACUGACUGUUGUACAUAAGGCUGAAACUUGAGUAAAACUUGCUCUCCCACCUAAAAACUCAUGUCUACACGAUGGCGAUCUGCCUGAAGCUUAAAGCGAUUUUGUGCUGCAGCCAGGUGUUGUUUCAGAGAUGCUAGUUGUUGUUCUCGUUCUUGCAGGAACUCAACAGCUGGGUUUUGGUCUUGAGUCUCCAGAGGUAAAAAUGUGCCCAAAUCUUCUUCAUAACCAUACAAAGCCUUAAAAGGAGAGCAGUCCAAAGAAGUAUGGUAAUUAGAAUUGUACCAUAGUUCAGCCAAAGAGAACCAAGUUUUCCACUGUUUGGGUGAAUCUUGAACAGCACACCGAAGGUAUAUUUCAAGGCAUUGAUUCACACGCUCAGUUUGACCAUCUGUUUGAGGGUGGUAAGAUGAACUUCUGAGCAAUUUUGUAUCCACUAAUUUAAACAGUGCUGUCCAGAAAGUACUUGUGAAAAUCUUAUCUCUGUCAGAGACAAUUGUCCUGGGCAUGCCAUGUAAUUUGAUCACCUUGUCAAGUACCACUUUGGCCACUGCCUGGGCAUUGAAUGGGUGUUUGAGAGGGAUAAAGUGGCGCAUUUGGUGAAUCUAUCAACCACCAUUAAUAUGACAUUGCACCCUUCAGAUAGUGGCAAGCCUUCUAUAAAAUCCAUGAAAAUAUCCUGCCAAGCACCUUGAGGAAUAGGAAGGGUUGAAGCAAACCACCUGGAUGGUUGUGCUCAUGUUUUGCUUGCUAACGGAUGGUACACUGCUUCACAAAGUUGUCAACAUCAGUUUUCAUGCCUUUCCAAUAAAAGAGUUGCUUGACUCUGUAGUAUGUAGCUUUUGUUCCAGAGUGGCCUCCAAUAACACUAGUGUGUAAAGCAUCAAUUACUCUUGUUUGUAAUGCUGAAUUUGCAGCAAUCCAUAUUUUGUUGUUGAACUUGAUAAGGCCUUGAUGUAAUGAGAAACCUUGUUCAUCUGGGGAUUUGAUGGCUAGUCUGGUUAAUAAUUCUUGAGCUUGAGGAUCAGUAGCAUAAGAAUUGAGCUCCUCUUGGACCCAAACAGGUUGAGCUUCAGAAACAGCUUGUAUUGCUAAUAAAUAGAGAUGAUAAAGCAUCAGCUGCCAGAUUGUGUUUGCCGUUUCUGUAAAUUACUUUGAAUUGUAACCCCAUAAGCUUGGUCAUUGCCUUCCUUUGCAUUUCAGAAUGUAGAUUUUGUUCAUUGAGAUAGGAUAAGCUCUUGUGAUCUAUUCUAAUGACAAACUCUUGUCUCUGGAGAUAUGGCCUCCAUUUCUCUACAGCCAUUAUCAAAGCCAAAAACUCCUUUUCAUAGAUAGACAAUUUCUGAUGGGUGGGUCCUAGUGCUUUACUCAUAUAAGCCACAGGUUGGUCUCUUUGCAUCAAAAUAGCUCCCACUCCUGAGUCAAAAGCAUCUGUUUCGACAAUAAAUGGUUGAUUGAAAUUUGGAAUAGCUAAAACUGGAGCUAUUACCAUUGCCUCCUUUAGCUUGUCAAAUGUUGCUGGAGCUGUUGCAGACCACUCAAAUUGCUUCUUCUCAAGCCAUAAUGUUUGAUAGAAUUUUUUGUAGUAGCCUGUGAGACCCAAAAAGCCCCUCAACUCAGUUACAUUUGUGGGAAUUGGCCACUUUAGCAUUGCUUCUAUUUUUGCUAGAUCAGUAGCCACACCCUGAUCAGAGAUAAUGUGCCCCAAGUAUUCAAGCUGGCUUUGAGCAAAAGAAUAUUUGCUAUGUUUCAGGAAGAAGUGAUGCUGUCUGAAUUUCUCUAGAACAAGUCUGAGAUGCUGGAUAUGUAAUUCCAAGGUGGGGCUGUAAAUUAAUAUGUCAUCAAGAAACACCAGCACAAAUUUCCUGAGAAAAGGACCCAAAAGCUCAUUCAUAGUGCAUUGAAAGGUGGCUGGAGCAUUGGUAAGCCCAAAUGGCAAGACCCUAAACUGGUAAUGACCAUGGUGUGUCUUAAAAGUUGUUUUGUGUUCAUCACACUCUUUCAUUCUCACUUGGUGAUAACCAGCUCUCAUGUCUAAUUUAGUGAAAUAUUUUGUGCCAGCAAGUUCAUUCAAGAUUUCAUCAAUAAUUGGCAGAGGGAACCUAUUCUUGAUAGUAAUAUCAUUGAGUUUCCUAUAAUCCACACAAAAAAUGCCAAGUGUCAUCUUUCUUUUGGACUAAUAAGACAAGAGAAGCAUAAGGGCUGGUACUAGGAGUUAUAAGACCAGCAGCUAGAAGUUCUAUCACCUGCCUCUCAAUCUCAUUUUUGUGCGAUGGAGAAUAUCUAUAAGGUUUAGAGUUAACAGGGAUAGCACCUGGAGUGAUUGGAAUUGGAUGAUCAUAAACCCUGGAGGGAGGUAGCUCUUUAGGUUCAGCAAAUACAUCCUUAAAUUCAUCAAGGACCUCCUGAAUUUCUUCUAGCACAGAUGGUGAUGCUUGAUCUGGCAGAACCUUGACAAUAGCAAAAGCCCAUAUAUCAUUGCCAGCAUCCCAUUUAAGCAACUUAUCAGCUGAGAGCUCCUGAACAGCCAAAUUGUUUGAGUUGACCCCUUUAAUGGUGACAAGCUGCCCUUUGUACAUAAGUUCCAUGGUCUUGUGCUCCCAAUGGUGAGUGAUGGGACUGUUGAGUUUGAGCCAAUCAUAGCCUAAGAUGCAAUCAUAAGCAGCUAUAUCCAGAACUCUCAUAUCACAGCUGAAAGUGUGUCCCUGAAUCCAUCAUUCCAAUUGGGGUACCAUUUGAUCAGAAAUUAAUACCUCUCCAUUGGCUACCUUUACUGUCUUAGGUGGUGCAGGUAUGGAUUGUAUGCCAAGUUUCUUCAAAAAUGUGGAGCUAACAAAGCAAUGAGAACUACCACUGUCCACUAGCAUCAACAUAACUUUGUUUUUAACAAGAGCUCUUAAUCUCAUGACCUCCCCGUCAUCUGUUCCAGGAAUGGCAUUGAGAGAUAGAGUACCAAAAUCAGCUGCUAAGGCAUCCUCAAUGUCCAACUAUGUUAACACCUCUUCAGUUAAAUUGAUGUCCAAAUCAUUCAGCAUAAGGGCAUUUGCUUGAGCUUUGGGCCUCUUAGUGCACUUAGAAGCAUGAGUAGCAUCAUGUGGUUCUCUGCAAUAAAAGCACAAAUUAUGAGUUCUGCAAUAAUCCCUGAGCUGCCUUUCCUUAGAAAGUGGGGCAGAUGUGACUGGUUUGUGUUGGUCCAUUCUGGCAGAAGAUGAUGCAGCUGGCCAUCUUGUGCUGUUUGGAGUUUUCAGCCCUUUUUUGGUAUUUUUGUCUUGAAUCUAUUACUGUAUUUUAGCCAACAUUGCAGCUCUUUCCAUGGAAUGUGGGACUUGUCCUUGAACUGCAUAUCUGAGCUCUGGCUUUAACCCUCUAAUGAACUGGGAGAUAAAGUAAGUAUCAGGCAUGCCUCCACUAUGCAUGUCCACCUGAAACUGCAGAGCUUCAAAAGCAGCUGCAUAUUCUUCCACUGAACCUAUUUGCUUCAGGUCCAACAAUUCAUCGAUAGUAUGUUGGUAAUCAUAAGCUCCAAAUUUUUGCUCCACAACUUUGAUGAAUUGAUCCCAUGUCUCCACCAUAUUAUUUCUUUUGGAAACUCUAAACCACCUAGAAGCAUUUUCAUCCAUGUGCAUCACUGCUGUCAUAAUUUUCAUAUGGUCAGGGAUAUAAAAAAUCUGAAAGUAUGUUUCACACUUGUCACGCCAGAUUGUGGGGUCUUGUCCUUCAAACCUAGGGAAUUGCAUCUUCGGCAUGGAGCUCUUAUGCACAUAAGAAUUGUGCCCAGCAUGGCGACCACCAAAAGUAGAACGAGAAUUUUGGGGCUCACCAAAGACUGCAUGGUCUUAUCGAUGGUAAUUCUGACGGUGGUAAGCUGCAGCCGAUGGUGUAGAACUUCCCCCUUGUUCUGGAUCGUCUUUCCCCAUGUGCUCCAGCGUCAAUUUCGCCACCGCCUGACCAGUGGCCUCCAACUGCUGUGCCAUAAGUUGCUGCUCCCGCAUGGACAGAUCAACCGCCUUGCUGUUGAUAUCAAGCUUCACCUGCAUCUGUUGCUGAGUGAUGGUGAGGUCUUCCAUUUUGGAGAACAACAAAUCCACAGACUCCAUCAGCUUGUCCAAUUUCGCAUCUGUCUUGGCAUACCCCUCCGCCAUUGCGUCGAGCACAAACUGGGACUGCACGGAAGGUUUUGGUGGAGCUGUGGUGAACUGCCCGCAAAUCGAGUCGAGGUAGAAUGGGAAUUACGGGAAAUCAAUCGCCGUCGCCGGUGCCGCGCGGCAAACGACGGGAUCUCAGCAGACCCACUCCGGUUUCGAGCUCAGAUCGACGGAGUAUUGCAAUUCAACGCACGAGCAACCGAUCCAAACCCUAACGCACCAGAAUCGCCCGUAGGAAUAAGGAAUUGCUGGGAAGGCACCUGAAUUGAGAAGAAAAGACACCGCCGCCGUGCGCCGCCUGCUCAGCCCGCCACUGCGCGCCGCCGCCGCACCGAACCGCCCCCCCCCCCCAACCCCCAAAAAAAAUUCAAUUGGUGAAGAAAAACAGGUUUUUAUACCCACCGGAAUGUUCCNNNNNNNNNNNNNNNNNNNNNNNNNNNNNNNNNNNNNNNNNNNNNNNNNNNNNNNNNNNNNNNNNNNNNNNNNNNNNNNNNNNNNNNNNNNNNNNNNNNNCCCCCCCCCCCCCCCCCACACACACACACACGCUGAGGAAGACAAGUCUCUGAUACCGACUGUAAUGUCCCGUUGCUAUCGACGACUCGCCGGCGACGUGAGCGCAAACACCAAUCGGAAUCAGGAGGUAGUUUGGGAAAGGAACCUGAACCUCGAGAACCAGAGUUUUCAUUCACAAGUCAGGCCAUGUUUAGUUCACUCCAUAAUUCCAACUUUGGCACUACGCAAAAGGAAGAUUCCUCAUCACAUCAAACUUGCGGUACAUGUAUGGAGUACUGAAUGUAGACGAAAUCAAAAACUAAUUGCACAGUUUUGUUGUACUUUGCGAGACGAAUCUUUUGAGCCUAAUUAGUCAAUAUUUGGACAAUAAUUCACAAAUACAAACGAAACGCUACAGUGUUGCUACAGUAAUUUUAACACCCCAAAGUUGGGCAACUAAACAAGGCCUCAAUACUGAUUACAAUUGUUACCCAUCCGACACACUUAAUACCCCACACACAGGCUGACAGCCCGGCCCUACCUGUAUGUCACACAUGCAUACAAAACACACCACUCACUCCUGAAGAUGUACUCCUAGCGCUGCGCCUUCUCAGUCACAACCGGGCAUUACACUGCUCCGUCGAUAUAGGAUUUUAAUUUUAUGCUUGUCAUAGCCAUAGCAAAUAUUUGAUGUGUUCCCUAGAACAUCCCAUUUCCAGUCUUUUAUUCCUCAUUUCCCUUAUCCAUCCACGUUAGAUGAUUUAGAAGUUCAGAUGUAGCUGGCUAGCUAUGCACCGACUUUCCUUUUCUUUCUGAAUCCAAUCCACAAUCGUCCCUCGCAGCUGGACAGGCGCAUGUACAAACCACAGGUUGAGGAAUUGAAAGAUCACAUUUGUCCGUCUCCCUAUCUCUUGGUCAUGGCAUAGCAACAUCUUUCCUUCCCUAGGUCCCUGAAAAGUUCUCCAUGGCCGCAUGCUUGUUCUCUGUGAGCUCAUGCUUGCCUUCUCAAUCAUAAUGUAUGAAGCACCGUGUUUUAAUUUCCAAAGCAUUUGGUAGACUGUCGCUUCGUCAUUCUUGCAGAAGUAAUCUAUUGCCUUUGGCAGCAUGAUCUCUUCAAGUUGCCCCAAGGUGAAGUUCACAUGCAAGGAAUGCUGCUCCUCACUGUAGAUUGCCGGUAUUGCAGGACUCCUAUCUACAAGUAGAAUGUCUUCUAAAUGCCCAUGGGGCGUCAAAAGGACUCCAACUUUCAGAUAUGGAGAAUCUUGUACAGAAUUUUUGGUUUCAAACAAUAAGGACCUAUGUUGGAUGCACUCUGAGAGCGAGACAUAGCACUGCAGAUGUACUUCAAUAACUGGUUCUAGAAAGGCACCUAGUAAUCUUGACUUGUUUAACUCCGUACCGUGAUAGAGCUUGUGCUGAACAUUCUGCUUGCAACAUAACGGGUUUGGGCGAAACCAAUCAGUGCCAAAGUUGUGAAGAUUGUCCCAAUGUUCUUUGUGGUGUGUAUCAACAACUGGCACCCAUGAGAAGUGUUCUGUAGGUAGUUGCAUAAGUUCUUUCGUAAUGGUUUCAACUGUAGACUUGAAAAUAGGGCCAUACAGCUGUAGGCACUUAAUUGCAGUCCCUACUAUGUCUGUACUCUCUGAAAGCUGUAGCAUUAAAGAAAGGAAAAAGUCAUCUUCUGAAACAUUACCAUCUGUCCGAAUGAAGAUGAGUCUAGCCUCUAUUCCAUGAUCUGAAGUUAUAUAGGGCACCAACUGUAGAAACAAAGGGCACUUGUUUGCUCGAAUGAUUCUGUGCUGUAGUUUCUUGCAUGCAAGAAGGUGCAUGAUAAGAGGGUCAAAGGGCAUGUGACAACGUGGCGUACCACCAAGCUCUACUAAUCUCAGAAACUCUCUAGCCCCAUCUGCUAACCACUCAAAUCUUCGAGCAAUGGAACUGUUCGACUCAUCUUUGUUGAAGCUGAUGACGGAGAAGACAAAUGACUUAGUAGUAUGUGCCAUACGCACAGGAAAUGAGGAAUUCCUCACCCUCUUUUCUGUCUCUACAUCUUCCAGGAUCCUCUGUUUGCAUUUGUGCAGCGUGUCAUCGCACUCUUGGGCAGCACGCUUCAGCUUCCUGCGCCAACGCAACAAGGAUGCAUCAGUGAUCUGCCACUUUCCUGACACCUCAAGAGCAGCCUCUAGCCUGAUGUUUGCCAUCUCUAGCCUCUCCAAGUUUCUGUUCGCAUUAGAUUCCUCUUUAUCCCCAUAAUUUUGAACCAGACUAGAUAGGAUUUGGCUAACUGUCUCGUUGACAACUGCAGAACUGACGAUCUCCGCCAUCGGGAUUCAAGGAUCUGUAGUAUCCCUUCCCUGUUCAGGAAAUUCAACACAAAACAGCAAACAUGAGAGACAAAAAUAUAUGAACUUUGGAUCACAAGCAAAGAUUUAGCUUAGCAGCUGUAAAGAACCUACCUUUGACUGGAUCACAUGGGCAGCUAUCCUCUGUAUGUAGGGAUAUCUCGAGGGUAAAAUCAUACAGUGAGGGGCAUGAUGAGAACUUAGAGAGAAUUCAGGGAUAGCAAAGGCUUCGACGGGGAGAAAACAAGGUAUGCAAGCCAAUGAGGAGGGAUGUGGAGGGUCUGGUCUUACCAAGGGAAAAAGAGGUAGGCAGGCAGGUCCCUCAGGAUUUCAGGAAGAAUUAUUUGACUUGUUGUGGAAAAUCAAAUGAAGAUCGGUGCGAAUGCAUGUGUGAUGACUAACCACAGGAAAAGAAAGUGAGACGCAACUUGAGAAUAUUUUGGAAUGUCUUGGUCUUGUAGAUAAAACAAUACAAAAACUUGGAAGUUCCUUUUUACGAGUCUUGGUCAGCAGUGGACAAGGAACUUGGAAAAACCUUGGGCGCUUGUCAGUGGCAAUUUCUAGUAUAUGACGCCAAUGUUGAAGUCUUUGUAAGGGCCCCUUAAGCAGGCGGCGCUAGGGUUGAUGAAUCCCUUUGCGGCGAGAGGGCGGAAAGAGGUAGGCCACGGCCAACAUGGGGGAAUGGGUGGAUCCGGCGGGAGACGCACCUGAUUCAGCGGCGCCUUUCCUCAUAUCCUCUGCCGCUGGUGCCCUCUGGUUGCCGCUGCGGCGCGCCCCAGCACCGCGGUGUCGCUGCGAGGCCUAGGCUCUCGCCGGCCGAGCGCGUGGCCUUCCGCUUCGCUGGCUCCGCGCCGUUGCGGAUCUCGCCGUUGCUGCCCGUCAUGUUUCCGCCGCCGCCGCCGACCCGGUGCUCCGUUUCCACUGCAGACGAGCUCCUCAUACCCCAGGCGACCGAUUCCGACACGUUCCAGUCUCCUCCACUUGCUCCUGCUCCGCUGGCCUGAGGCUCCAGGAGCUCGGCCAUGGCCGGCAGGAAUCCGAUCAGAGCAGCAGCGCGCCGCUCUGUCUCCAUCUCUCCGACCCGUGUCUCUUGGGCCUAAAGGCCCGUAAUCCCCUUGAAAAGCCCACUUAACAAUUGUGGCUGCCAAAUCUCAGCCCAUAAGCUACAGGUCAGAGAGGCAUGAAAUCUUGUCGAUCUUCCAAAGAUUUUAAACUCAUGCGUAUGUUUAAAAUUCGUGUCACAGCAGAUGGACGACUCAUAUUAGGUGGGGAUGCAAGCCAACCAGCCAGCAUCAUUUGUUGAUCACAUAGCACAUAUGUGUGCAGCUAAUUAAUUUUCUUUUUUAUUUUGAUGUGUUUCACAUAGCACAUAUGUAUAACUUAUCAUAUGUAUUAGAUCCUGACUUUUACAUGUAUACAUGCUUCAAAGCUUUGUUAAAAUUGAUUUAAAAAUUUACGAAACCUAAUUCCAUAUGUUCAUAAAAUGUGAUUCAACAUUAAUCUAGCCAUUAGCCAUGGUGGGCACUUAGAGUGGCACGCUAGAGAAGAUUGAUAUGAAGUUGAGGAUUUUCUUUCAAACAAUAUAAAAAGAAUGAUGCUUUUCAAGUAAAGAUACGCAGCUGACUAAUUUUCCUUUUAUUUUUAUGUGUUUCUUUGUUCUAAUAUGUAUAACUAAUCAUAUCUAUUACUACCUCCGUUUCAAAAUAUUAAUCAUUUUAGCUUUUCUAGAUAUAUAGGCUCAGCUAUGUAUCUAGACAUACUCCGUAAGUCUAUAUUUAGGUGUGUAGCAUCUAGAAAAGGUAAAACGACUUACACUUUGGAACAAAAGGAGUAGGUUCCAAUUUUUACAUUUAAACAUGCUUCAACGUUAUGUUAAACUUGAUUUGGGAAAGAUUGAUACGAAUAUAUUUAAGGAUUUUAUAUGGAGUGCGUGCCAUGUUAAAUUUUAAAUACUAAACUUUUGGGAUUAUUAUUGGACCUAUGACAAUUGGCAGAGGUUGGAGACGCUUCCAAAGGGGUGGGGGCGCAACCUAACAGAUUUGGUACGCAAGCUUUGGCCAUGACCAACCUCCAACCUUCGCCCUGCCAACAAACAUAUAUGGACUGUAUUUAAUGGGGCAGCUGAGACUCGACGUCGGCGAAGUCGAGCCGAUGUGGAGCGAGCCGCACUAGAUCAUACACAGAGAUGGAUUGGGCGGUCGGCAUGCAUGACCAAAUAGACCCGAGCAUUUUAAGCCCAACCCGAUCCUGAUGGGUUUUGGCACGCUCACGUUAGCUGUCGAGUCGGGCAUGUUCAACGAAAAUCAAGCUCAAAAAAAAAUCGGGCUGGCCCGAGCCACCCAAGCAAUUAAUUUUAUUUAUUUUUCAACUAAAAAAGAAGGCCUGAUCUAAGCCCAGCCCGAACCCAGCCCAAAAACUCGGCCUGACAACAUCCAUGGGAUGUUCGUGAGCACAAAUUUUCAGCCCAAAAUGAACCGGACUUUUUACCAGCCCAGCCCGCAAAAUGCUCAUGUCUACCUCCAAGCUUCGCCCUGCCAACAAACAUAUAUGGAUUGUAUUUAAAUUUUUUUUGAAUUGGAUUGGAUAUUAGACAGUUUGUAUUGGACUUGGAUUGUUUUACGUGGUUUUAACUGGACUUGGAUUGGGUUUGGAUUGCUUUACGUGGUUUUAACUAGACUUGUUCAUUUGGACUGGGAUUGCAAUGUUAUUACUUACUAGGAAAUAUGCCUGUGCGUUGCACGGGAGGAAAAAAGCAUCGCACAUCCCAAUACACAUGGCGCAAAAUUUGGGUGAUAAUUUGAUGUUGUUUGUCAAUUUUCAAUUAGGCCAAAUAGAAUUGCUAAAUUAUUGAAUAUAUUUUUUUUUCUUCCUUCAUUUUUUUUAUCUUUGGCGUUUGUUUCUUUUAUAGCAAAUAUGCCCGUGCGUUGCAAUGGGAGCCUCUAUAUAUCAUCAGCGAUGCACCCCUACAUAUAUCCUCUCUUAUCGACAGUGGCGACUGACGUUCAUAGUUUCUCACGAAGCUCACACUUGCAUAUAUCCAUCCUCGUUAGCCUUGGCUUUGCUUCUUUGAACGUUGUUGUUCGGUAGGCUUCACCAAGCUUGUAUGCAAUUCAUCAGUGAUGCCUUCCGCAGUCUCCCACCAAUUGGUUCUUGUCUUCAUUUUCCUUUUUUCUCUUCUUCCCUACCCAUCCGCAACAGAGCUCUCAUUCCUUGAUGGUGCAAAACAACUAACAGAAUAAAAUUACCUGUUGUAUUAUGAUAUUUUUGGUAUUGGGGUGACCUAACUUUUUAUUCUCGUUUGUAGGCCCAAUCCAUUCAGCCUAGCCCAUUUUUAAUCCAAAUCCAUAUCAUUAGCGUUAAUAAAAGUAUUUUUAUUGCAACAAAGUAUUAGCUUUACAAAACAUAUUUAUUACACCCUUCCAUGUUCCAUACAUACAUAUACACAAUCUAACAUAUAUAGAUUUCUAGUAUCCAGAAGCCUUGUAACAGUGCGUUCAUCACUUUUAUAGGUCAGCUUUAGCUUCAGCGAAUCAGCCUAAUUUGUUGCUUUUGCAUUAGCUGCUGUUGAGGUCAUCCUCUUCUACAGCCGGUUUUGCUUAAGGUAUCUGCAACAAGAGAAACUGUAUGGUUUCAGAUAGAGGCAAUUUUUCAUGAAAGAGGGUACAUAUUCAGGGUACGGAUUCAAUUUCCCACAAAGAUAUGUUAAAAUCAGAUUACUUCAUAUGUGAAGAUACUUCAAUUUUCCACUAUCAACAUAUCUUACCUGUAGUAUACAAUUAUUCUUUUGUCAUAUGUGAAGAUACUUCAUAUUUAUCUGAAUUUUGCCAGUGUGAAAUCUUCUUUCAGUACUGCAAGGUCAGAAUAGAAUCAGUGAGAAUGAUAAGGCUUCAAGAAACAUAUUUGAUGAAAUUAUCAAUAAAAUUGCUAGUGACGUUCCUGCAAGGAAGACUACUAUCACACUGAUUGCUACACUGGCAGAUGCUUGAUUCGGAUGACCAGCAGUAGAGAUAAGCCACUAAAACAGUUAAUUCAAGCGAGGCAACAAUACAAGCAAAACACUUCAUGAUGUAAAGACUUUGCAUUACAUAUAGCUUACUAUCCCACAAGGAACACUGAAUACUGGAGAAUAGCUAAACUCUGCAUAUAAUCAGUGCAAGUACAUGUACCAUCUACAGCAACAGUAAUUAAGAAGCAAUAAACAAGUUGCAGUCCAAUUAAGAAAUACGAGAAUCUCAUGCAGUAUGUAAACCUACAUGGCAGUAUCACCAUAAAGAGAGCAGCAUCAGGCUAGUAGCAGCAACUCACGUGCUAGAUCUUGCCUCUAAUCUCCAUUUUUCCCCAAAUCAGAUAAAGCAUCCAAGCCACAACAGUGCAUCCCAUGCUAUUCCUCAGGCCAAGCGCCAGAGAAGCUCAAUCUGUAGCAGUCCAGGGGUGCAGGCGGAUUAAAGUGGAGUUGCAAAAAAGGGAGAAAGUGGAGUAGCUCGUGGCUGUACCUGUAGAUUGCUGCUUGAGAGAGGAGGCAGUUAGGCAGCGGCCCCUGCUGCUCGACGGAGGGAGAGGCAGCCGCUGUUCCCGGAGGGGUGACCACUGCUUGGCCAACAGGCUUGGCCUAUUGGCCACAGGAGCACAAGGGCAGAAGCCCGCCGCGAGCGGAGGCACGCGGGGUCGCCGGCAAGGGAGGGCGGUCGCGCACCGUAGGCAGCUUGGGACUGGGGUUGUGCGCAGCUGCCGGCGAGGCAAGAGUGGCUUGCGCUAGCAGGCAGCCAGGGUGUGGUGCCAGCGGCGGCGGCAUGGGAGAAUAGCCGGUGCACCAUGCCAGAUCCAGAUGGAGGAUGAGGAGGCGGCCCGCGGGGCUUUUUUUUUGCAAAAUCAUGAAGAACUACUCCAACGACUAUGGGUUUGAUUAAAAAAAAGUUAAGGGGUUUUUUUUGCAAAACGAUCGUGACGGUUAGAAGAAACAACCGCUCUUUUAUAUCUAUACCUAUUAUUAAAGUAAGCAACAUCUCUGCCACGAUUUUCAUACGUCACCCUAAUCUUGCAAAAAAGGUCCUGACAUUUCGUGAAAUCAACCCGCAGUCCAAAUUCUGAAGAGAAGAGGGCCUCGGGUGUUAAAGGGAGGGAAGAGAGGGGGUUAAAGGGAAAAAGCUUCUCCUUCCUUUAAUAAUAGGUAUAGAUAUAAAAGAACCAUACAUAAAUACCUCAUCUCCCAAGCCUACUAUAAAUAAAUAUCUAACCUCAUUAGCUAUUCGAAAUGAUGUAUCAUGGUCCGUAGAUUGUUGAAUUAGUUGGACGAAAAUGUUGAAACAGGCAGCAGCCAGUCGGACUACCAAUCCUGCGCGUAUGCCCUGUGGCCUGACUAAGAGGAUCUGGACUACCAGUAUUCGUAUAAAGAAACUUUCAUCCAACUGGAUGUUGGAGGAUGACCCGUGGAUAUGGUCGUCAACAAAGUUGACUCACUGACUUGGAAAUUGACCUCAUUGACUUAGUGACUUGGAAGAAGACCUCAUUGACUUCUUAGUGACUUGAAAAUUAGGCUAAGUUGGAAGAAGACCUCAUUGACUUGGUGACUUGGAAAUUAGAGACUUGCGAGAUUGAAUCGGCAUUUUAAAUAGCCUUGUUAUUACUCGCUGCAUCAAGGAGCACAGAGCCAAGCUAUGCGGACAGCCAUGGAGCACCAUUGCUCCAUCCUACUCGUAGCCUCCCUCCUCCUUGCAUCUCCAGCAUGGACAUCGGCCUCCGCGGGAAGUGACGGCACCGGCGCUGACCACCGUGCGCUCAUGCAGUUCCGGUCCCUCAUCACGGACGACCCAUACAGGGCCUUGGCAUCAUGGGGCGCCGGCAACAUGACCGCGCCGGCGCCGUGCGGGUGGCACGGCGUCACGUGCGGGGUGCGCGGGCGCCGCCGCAGCCGCGUGACAGCGCUGGACCUCCACGGGCUCGGCCUGGCCAGCUCCGGCACCGCGGCUCCUUCAUCCCUCUCGGGCCUCACCUACCUCCGGCGACUCGACCUCUCCAGGAACCGCCUCGGCGGCGGCGUGCCCUCCCCGUUGCCGCCCUCCCUCGAGCACCUCAAUCUCAGCCACAACGUGCUGCAGGGGCCGGUGCCCCCAGCGCUGGGGUCACUGCACCGCCUCCAGAAGCUCAGUCUCAGCUACAACAACCUCACCGGAGCAAUCCCUGCCUCCCUUGGCAACCUCACCUCCCUCACCAUCCUCGGCCUCGCCAACAACAACCUUGCCGGCGCCAUCCCUGGCGCUCUCGGCAACCUCAAAGCUCUCACCGGCCUCUACCUCUCCAGCAAUAACCUCACCGGAGCAAUCCCUGCCUCCCUUGGCAACCUCACCUCCCUCACCAUCCUCGGCCUCGCCAGCAACAACCUCGCCGACGCCAUCCCUGGCAGUCUCGGCAACCUCAAAGCUCUCACCGGCCUCUACCUCAACCAGAACAUGCUCCAAGGAUCCAUACCUUCCGCCAUGUUUAACAUCUCCUCUCUCCAGGAUCUUAACGUGCAGUUCAACAACCUCACCGGAGCAAUCCCUGCCUCCCUUGGCAACCUCACCUCCCUCACCAUCCUCAGCCUCACCAGCAACAACCUUGCCGGCGCCAUCCCUGGCGCUCUCGGCAACCUCGAAGCUCUCACCGACCUCUACCUCGCCCGCAACAACCUCACCGGAGCAAUCCCUGCCUCCCUUGGCAACCUCACCUCCCUCACCAUCCUCAGCCUCGCCAGCAACAACCUGCCGGCGCCAUCCCUGGCGCUCUCGGCAACCUCAAAGCUCUCACCGGCCUCUACCUCUCCAGCAAUAACCUCACCGGAGCAAUCCCUGCCUCCCUUGGCAACCUCACCUCCCUCACCAUCCUCGGCCUCGCCAACAACAACCUCGCCGACGCCAUCCCUGGCAGUCUCGGCAACCUCAAAGCUCUCACCGGCCUCUACCUCAACCAGAACAUGCUCCAAGGAUCCAUACCUUCCGCCAUGUUUAACAUCUCCUCUCUCCAGGAUCUUAACGUGCAGUUCAACAACCUCACCGGAGCAAUCCCUGCCUCCCUUGGCAACCUCACCUCCCUCACCAUCCUCAGCCUCACCAGCAACAACCUCGCCGGCGCCAUUCCUAGCGCUCUCGGCAACCUCGAAGCUCUCACCGGCCUCUACCUCGGCUUCAACAUGCUCCAAGGAUCCAUACCUUCCACCCUGGGCAACCUCAAAGCUCUCACCGGCCUCUUCCUUCACUACAACAUGCUCCAAGGAUCCAUACCUUCCGCCGUGUUUAACAUCUCCUCUCUCCAAAAACUUGACGUGCAGAUGAACAACCUCACCGGGACUCUGCCCCCGAACGCCGGUGGCAGGCUGCCCAGACUCACGUGGUUCGCCGUUAACAACAACCGGCUACACGGUACCAUCCCGCCGUCGCUCUGCAACGCCUCCAAGCUGGAGUUGGCGCAGAUGUCAGAUAAUUCCUUCUCCGGAGUCAUACCGAACUGCCUUGGAACUCACCUCAAGAACUUGUGGGCACUGAGACUGGACUCCAACAAGCUGGAAGCAAAUGUUGAUGCUGACUGGGGAUUCAUGGAUAGUCUGACCAACUGCAGCAAUCUGAAGGUCAUUGACUUGGCUAGAAACAAGCUGGGAGGUAUGCUUCCUGGCUCGAUCGCAAACCUUUCGACGAGCAUGGAGUACUUGAGCAUAAGUAACAACAUGGUAAGUGGGCAAAUACCUCAAGAAAUCGGCAACCUUGUCAACUUGAAGAGAAUUUAUAUGGAUCGCAAUAACCUUACUGGUAUUAUCCCUUAACAAGCUGGGCAACCUUCUCUUGUUCGGCAACAAGCUAUCAGGGCAAAUCCCACCAACAAUUGGCAAUCUCACCGUGCUCACCUCACUAUUCCUUGAGGACAACAUGCUCACGGGUCCCAUUCCUUCCAGUCUUGGUAGUUGCCCUUUGCAGUCGCUGUCCCUGGAGCACAAUCGCCUUACUGGUCCAAUACCAAAAGAAAUUCUCCUCAUAUCCACGCUUUCCGACUACGCGACUUUCCAAGAGAACAUGCUAACUGGAUCGUUGCCAUCGGAAGUUGGUCACCUGAAAAAUCUUGUGACCCUUGAUGUAUCUGGAAAUAGGUUAACCGGGGAAAUCCCCAACUCUCUUGGCGAUUGCCAAAUCUUACAGUCUUGCAGUAUGAAAGGGAACAUGUUUUAAGGGAAAAUUUCAGAGUCAUUGGGACAACCGAAGGCCCUCUUGGUUCUUGAUCUUUCAAGAAGUUGGUCACGUGAAAGGUCUUGAACAACUGCAUAUCUCCUUUAAUAACUUUGAUGGUGAAGUCCCAAAGCACGGAAUAUUUCUUAACGCUAGCGCAUUUUCAUUUGAGGGAAACUCUGGCCUCUGUGGAGGUAUUACUCAGCUGAAAUUGCCACCUUGCUCAGAUAAUGGCAGUACUAGCAACAAUAAGCCAUCACACAAACUUGUCAUGAUGGUCUCCAUAGCCACUGCCUUUCUAGGAAUCUCCUUGCUCCUUGCACUAUGUGUAUUAUGUCAUCAAAGAAGGAAGUUGAUAAAGGCAGAACAUGCCUUACCACUCAUCAAUGAUCAGUAUGCAAGGGUUUCAUAUGUCAACUUGAUGAAUGCAACAAAUAGUUUUGCUUCUGAAAACCUCAUAGGCAUCGGAAGCUUCGGCUCUGUUUACAAGGGAACAAUGAUAAGCCAUGACCAAGAAGUUGUUGUCGCUGUGAAGGUGCUCAACCUUCAGCAGCGAGGGGCGUCACAAAGUUUCAUUGCAGAAUGUGAGACUCUGAGAUGUGCUCGACAUCGGAACCUUGUGAAAAUCUUGACGGUGUGUUCAAGUAUUGAUUCCGGUGGCCUUGAUUUCAAAGCUAUUGUAUUUGAUUUCCUACCAAAUGGAAAUCUAGACCAGUGGCUACACCACCGUCUCAGGGAACAUGGCACCCAUAGUAGGAUUGAUCUUGUCCAACGGAUAGACAUUGCCAUUCAUGUCGCUUCUGCACUCGAAUAUCUUCACCACUAUAAACCAACCCCGAUAGUUCAUUGUGAUCUCAAGCCAAGCAAUAUUCUCCUUGACAAUGACAUGGUUGCCCAUGUUGGUGAUUUUGGGCUCGCAAGAUUUGUGCAUCAAGACCAGACUAACCCCUCAGAUAUAUCAAGUGGUUGGGCUACAAGAAGGGGAACCAUUGGAUAUGCUCCUCCAGGUCAGGUUCUAACAAGUACACUGCAUUUUACUUUCAUGAUUGAUUGAAAAUUGAAAUCCACAAGCAAGUAAAAUGCAUUGCUCCUUUUUCCAUCAUUUAACAUUGUAGCUGUAGCAUUGCUGAUAGUCCUCAUUUAGUUGCUGAAUAAUAUGAGUGUUCCAAACAGAGUAUGGACUGGGUAACGAAGUCUCAAUCUAUGGUGACAUGUACAGCUUCGGAGUACUAUUGUUGGAAAUUUUCACAGGAAAAAGACCAACAGAUAGCGACUUCGUGCAAGACCUCAACCUUCAUAGGUACGUGCAAAUAGCACUGCAAGAUGAGCAAGUCACCAGUGUGGUACAAGAUCCGGAACUCGAAGGGAGAACAAGCAGCUCCAGUAGCACCAGAGAAAUUAUAGUUGCCUGUGUUACUUCAAUUCUGCAUAUCGGAAUUCUGUGCUCAAAGGAACUUCCAAUAGACCGCUUGCUGAUUGGUGAUGCCUUGAGAGCGCUUCACAGAAUCAAAGACAAUUAUAACCAGUUGCACUUAUUAAGUACAUAGAACUUUCUGAAACACAGGAUUUCCAUAUCCAGAACCAUUUUACAGUAUUCCGUGAUCAGAACAGAUACCAGGUCCUUGACCGCACUCAACCAAGUGUUGCGCUUUUUACUUUUAAAAAGACAUGAAAGCAUAAGAUUGACAUUGCAUACACAAUGGAUGCCAGUAUCGCAUCCACCUGCACAUCAGGGUCUAGAGAACAUUGUUAGAUUAUCUUAAUAUAUGAUGUGGCCCAUGUAAUUAAAGAGAAUGAUUUUCAUAUGAAAAGAUCGCAGUGUGUGUUUCUUUGAAGAUCUAUUAAUGUUUUACUCCAAUUAUUCAGAGAUAUGUUGUUUUGCUAUCUACAUAAUACAUACUCAUAAGGCAACUUUUUGCAUCCAACUUCUACUCUGGCAUUAUGCAGUUAUGCCUGUCAUCAUGCAAUCUGCAGAAAUUGAUGAAUGAUAUAAAUGGAGGGAAAACAGAGGUAAAGCUCUUGUUCCAAACCUGCUGAAGUUCUCAUCAGUCACCAAUAUAAACUGUUCAGCAACAAAAACAUGCAUGAUGCAUUGUUACAUUUUUAAAAGAAAUGAUGCAUCAUUAUGGAUUCUACUGCCUGCUGGCAUGUUUAACCAAUACUACAUUUUCUGCUUCACCAAGUCACUUUGUUCUUCUCAUGAACUUUUGAGUCAGAUCUUUGAGCGCUUGCCUCGAGUUAAGCACAACUUGAUCCUCACUAUCAGGAAGAUCAUCGAUAGCGCCCGCUGCCAGUUUUGCAUGUUCAGCAGCAAGAGACCUCGUCCUCUCGAUUCCCUGACUUUUUGAAAGGUAUUUGAGGGCCUACAAGUGUAAAAUUGAGCAGUUCUGAGACCACACUAGACAAUUUAUGAGCAUUUCACAACCCAAAUAGUUGGAUUAUAUUACUGGAAACAAAGAAAAGUACACUUUCCUUUCAAAAAAAAAAACACUUGCAGUACGAACCGUCUUAACAUUUAAAGGGUCAUCAAAUCCCUGUUCAACAAUCUCACGCAGUUCAGGGAAUUCUUCCAUCGCAAAAGGUAUGGGAGCUGUCACAAUUCCCUGUCCAUACAGGGCAUAUAUGAUUCCUUACAUGUCAUUGAUAUCUUAAAAAGUAAAAUACUACUGAGGAAAUAUUGAGUGAAUAACUGUAUUACUUGAUGGAUAUCAGACAAGGAGGCUUUGCCUAGUGAAGCUGAUGUGCCUGUGAAAUUGAGGAUGUCAUCGAUCAACUGAUAUGCUAUGCCCUGGAAGAGAGAGUGUAGGUCAUCUUAACAGUUCAAUUGUCUAGCAAAAAUAGGAACAGCUUCUGUCUAAGGAAAAAUACAACACACCAAGUGUCUGCCAUACUGAUAAGCAAGAGCUUGUACUUCUGUUGUUUGCUCAGCGAAGACAGCAAUAGCUUUGCAGCUGUCUUGUAGUAUGUCUUCUGCAAAUAAUAGUCCAUGCUGUACAAGCAUCCAUGAACAGGUGUCACAUUUGAAAGCAAAUAUGGCUAGGAAAAUUGUAGAUUGAUUAUAAAGGUGCAUAGCACGUACAUAUACAUAGGAUAGGGUCCUAGGGUUAGGAGGAGCCCUUGCCUAUGCUACAAUAAACCCUGGCGCCUGACCUGAUAGGGGCCAGCGGCAUAGCACAAGCGCCUAUCAGGGUGCCGGCAGCACAUGGGCCUAGCCGGGCUCUAGCCCAAUUACACAUAUUCCAACACGCUCCCGCAGUCUAAUCGUCGGUACCACAAAUGUUUAGACUGGACCUAAACUCUGUGAAUACAGACGAAGGCAACCCCUUGGUGAAGACGUCGGCGUACUAAGCCGAUGUGGGAACAUGUAGUACUCGAACGUCACCCAUAGCAACGCGCUCGCGAACGAAGUGAAGAUCGAUCUCAAUAUGUUUGGUGUGCUGAUGCUGAACCGGGUUGGAGGAUAUGUAGACCGCGAUGAUAUUGUCACAAUACACCAAGGAGGCGCGGCGAAGUGGGGCAUGGAGCUCCUGAAGAAGCUGGCAGGGCCAGGUAGCUUCGGCGAUGGCAUUGGCCAUGACACGGUACUCAGCUUCGGCACUGGACCUGGAGACAGUGUGUUGUCGCUUAGAGGACCAAGAAACCAGGUUGUCACCAAGGAAGACCGCAUAGCCGGAAGUGGAUUUGCGAGUGUCUGGACAGCCUGCCAAUCAGCAUCAGAGUAUACCACCAGUGAAUCCUGACCUGAACACGGACGCAGCAGUAGGUCGAGAUGGAGAGUGCCACGGAUGUACCGGAGGAUGCGCUUCAGGGCAGCAAGGUGAGACUCUCGCGGAUCAUGCCUGUGGAGACAGACUUGCUGAACCACGUAGGCGAUAUCCAGCCUGGUGAAAGUGAGAUACUGCAAAGCGUCGGCGAGACUGCGAAAAUCCGAGGCAUUGUUAACAGGAGCACCUGAAGCAGCCAACACCUUGGGAUUGGUGUCAACGGGAGUGGAACACAGCCUACACUCAGCCAUGCCAGCACGAUCUAGGAUAUCAAGCAUGUACUGCCACCGAGACAACAGAAAUCCUCCACCAACAACAGGCUGCACAUGCAUACCCAGGAAAUGAUGAAGAGAUCCAAGAUCCUUCAUAGAGAAUUCCAGCUGCAAAGCCUGAAUAAUCUGUCGAAGCAACAUUGGAGAAGAAGUCGUGAGUACAAUGUCAUCAACAUAGAGCAAGAGAUACACGAUCUCGGUGCCUCGAUGAAACACAAACAACGAGGUGUCAGAUUUGGCCUCCACAAAGCCAACAGACUGAUAAUAAGCUGUAAACUAACUAUGUCAGGCGCGAGGAGCUUGCUUCAAGCCGUACAGAGACUUGUUGAGGCGGCAAACGAAGUCUGGAUGAGCAGAAUGCUCAAAACUAGCAAGCUGAGCACAAUACACAGUCUCAGAAAGAGUGCCAUGGAGAAAUGCAUUCUUGACAUGUAGCUGGUGAACAGGCUAGUGACGAGAGAGUGCCAACGACAGAACUGUCCGGACAGUAGCAGGCUUGACGACUGGACUGAAAGUCUCAUCAAAGUCCACCCCUGGCCACUGAGUGAAGCCGCGAAGAACCCAUUGAGCCUUGUACCAAUCAAGAGAGCCAUCCGAAUUGAACUUGUGUUUGAAUAUCCACUUACCAGUGACAAUAUUAGCAUGCGACGGACGAGGCACAAGCUACCAUUUGUUGUUCUGGAGAAGCGUCGCAUGCUCAUCUUCCAUAGUAGCCCGCCAAUCAGGAUCAACAAGGGCACUACGGAAGGACUUUGGAACUAGAGACAACGGCGCAGUGUGGAACAGAAUAGGCUGACGGAACCCAAGCAUGGCACAGGUGGUCAUGCCAUGCUGGUUGAUGACGGGCGGAACAACGACAGCUCCUUUGGGAAGGACCGGAGCCCGAGCUCCUCGAUCGGCGCCUGGUGUGCUGGUGGUGGGCCGGCGUCAAAGGCUGGCAGCGGUGACAGGAGAUGAGGAGCAGCAGAGCGGCGCAUGUAGAUGAAGUGGAGUGGCGUCGAGUCGAAGCUAGGAGGGACCCAUGGAGCUGGGGGGCAAGCCGGCGCCGGGGAUCCACCAAGCGAUGAUGCUUCAGGGGCACUAGCGGGAACUCCAGGGGACGUGCCAGGGGCACCAGCAGGAACUCUAGGUCCACCAGCAGGGGCGCCGGGGUGACGCCAGGAGGUGCGGGUGGGCUGUGGCGAUGCACCAGGGGCGCCAGCGAGGGCGGACGACGUGCCAGGGGCGUGGAAGGGCCCAGUAGGGGUGCCAGGGUGCCGGGGUGACACUAGGGGCCGCCGAGGAGACACCAAGGGGCGCCGAGGCAGUGCUGGGAGGCGCUAGCAGGGGCGUCGGGGCAACACCAGGAGGUGUCGGGAUGGUGCCAGUGGGCGUUAGGAGGGGCACCGUAUGGGGCACGGCGGGGGGUGUUGACGGUGCUAGUGGGAUCUGCAGGCAAAGCGGGCUGUAACGUUCCGUUGGGAACCGGCACAAGGUCAGUAGCGUCGUCCAAAAAAUUGUAAUCCACCGGGGAAGGUGGAGAGGAACUCUCAGCAUAGGGAAAUGAGGACUCGUCAAAGGUGACAUGUCAGGAGAUGAUGAUUCAGUUAGAACCAAUGUCAAAACAACGGUACCCUUUAUGUUGAGCAGAAUAUCCAAGAAAAAUACACCAGGUGGACCGUGGUGCUAACUUGUGACUAACUGUGGCGGAAAGGUUGGGAUAACAUCUACAACCAAAGAUGCGGAGGUGAUCAUAGGAUGGUGCAGUGCCAUACAACGCCUCAUGUGGAGUGCAAAAAGCAAGGGUCUUGGUAGGUAGCAUGUUGAUCAGAUAUGUCGCGGCGUGGAGAGCUUUGACCCAAUAGUGAGGGGUAAGGCUUGCAUGGAAGAGGAGGGAGCGGAGGAUGUUGUUCGUAGUGCAAAUGAUCCACUCAGCUCGACCGUUUUGCGGCAACGUGUAUGGGCAUGACAUGCGGAAGUGGACGCCACGGGAGAGGAAGAACGUGCGGGUGCUGGAGUUGUCAAACUCGUGAUCAUUGUCGCACUAGACGGCCUUAAUGGUGGCACCAAACUGUAUAGUCAUGUAGGAAAAGAAGUUAGCAAGAGUAUCAAACGUGUCAGAUUUCAACCGCAGGGGAAAACUCAAGGAAAAAUGAGAGCAAUCAUCAAGAAUAAUCAAGUAGUAUUUAAAACCCGAGAUGCUAGGAAUAGGUGAUGUCCAAAGAUCACAAUGAAUAAGAUCAAAAUUUCUGGAGGCUCGAGAGGAGGACACCUGAAAGGGAAGACGGGUGUGUCGUCCGAGCUGACACGCAUGAUAGAGAGAUGAGCUAAUGUCUUUAUUACAUGAUGGUAAAAUGUGCGCAAGACGGGAAAGGGCGUCCAUCCCGGGAUGGCCGGGACGGUGAUGCCAGAUCAUAGAGGUGGCUGUCAGUGUUUUAGACCGGCAACCCGCCUAAGGGGUACCCUAGGUGGUCUUUUGUGCGGUAAGGAUUGUCGAGAAUCAAGGAAUCAAUGGUGACGCAAGGAGUACGAUUUAGACAGGUUCGGGCCGCUAGAUCGCGUAAUACCCUACGUCCUGUGUGUUGGUUUGUAUUGGUCUUGGAUGAACUGGAGUUGUUGUUUGAGGGGAUCCCUGCCCGCCCUUAUAUACACGGGAGGGCAGAGUUACAAGUCCGAGUCCUAGUCGAGUACUAUUACAGAGUUCUACUCGGUAUGGUCCGAGUAGUUUUCCAUGCAUACACUUGACUAGUCCGAGCAGGAUACGCCUAUCCCUUGUCCUGGUUACAUCCGAGUACGUCCCUUAGUGGGCCGUCCAAGGUCUACUCGGGACCUGGGGUGCGUGCCCGACAGUGGCGCCAACAGUGAGAGCAGCAGCAGCAAGGAGGUGCAAGGGGUAUAGUGGACCCAAACUAUUGCACCUGACGAUCACGUUCCUGGACCGAAGAUCCUUUACAGAACAACCAGACGGGUCAAAUUCAAUUGAGCAGUUGUUAUUGGUAGUAAACUGGCGCACGAGAAUAAGAUUCUUAACAAGCUUGCGGGAAACAAGGACAUUAUUAAGAUGCAAAGAACCGAGAAGAAUAGUUGUGACAGUAGAAGUGACAGGGAGUAAAGAACCGUCAUCGACAACAAUUGCUGAAGGAAAAGGCUCGGGCAGGAGGCGAUGGGCCGGCGUAGGUGCCCAGGAGGCAGCAAGGCUGCACGGCGCCGUGGCCAUGGCCAGAUGAACAGGAACAGACAGGGAAACAAAGAAGAAAAAAGAGGGAUUUGCCGAGAACGACUCCUAAACUCACGAUUGAACGAGCAAAACGGAACAAGGACGAUGAGACGAAUGAGAUGGUGUGCUCACCUUCGACCACCGAUGAUGAACAAUGGUAGCGGAAAAGCUCGCCGGAGUUGGGGAAGACGUCGGAGUCGGUAUCGGAUUCGCACAAUCCACUGCACCACGGCAUAGAGCUUGAAGAGAGGAGCUCCAUGGUGGUGUCGGUUUUCGCCAGAAGUCCACGGUUUCGCCGAAAAAUAUCACCAAAAUUUGACUAAGAUCGGACUUUGACAUCAGAUCUACGGAGCUCGUCGAGACGAACGCGGUGAUAUAUAUAUAUAUAUAGGCUGGCUUUGGAAAAAAAUAUUUUCAAGUUGACUUUUCUAUUAUUGGAAUUUCUGGAUUUAUUUAUAUGCACGAAAACAAUUCCAGAAAUAGCCGGACUUGUUUUCUAAAGCGAGAAAAAUAUCUAGAAACUUCCAAAAAUUCCGAGAUAAAUCUCAAAGUUGAGUUGGGACACAAGAAAUCCAAAUAAAAUACUUGGAGCUUGUGAAAAGGAUUCUAGAGCCUUCCAAAAAUUGGAUUUAGCUCUGAGAAAAUGAGAAUAAAUUCCAGAAAAUUCUUGGAAGAGUGUGGACAACGUCUAAGCGCAUUUUUGAAACUUUUGCACUCAUGAAACACUAAGAUGCAUCAGCAUGAAUGCACAGAUAUAGAACAACAUUAUUUAAUUUAGAAAAGCAAACAAUUAUUUUCCUAUACUAAACUUUCUGUAAAGAAAAAUAAAUGUUAGGAAAAUUUUAAAAUUAUAAGAAAAUUAUUAUUUAAUUAUUCCUUUUAAUCAUAUCCUGAAAUUCGGAAAUUUUAGGGCGUAACACUGGAGAGGGGUAUAGAUGUCUAGAUGACAAGACCUACGUUGACAGCUAACUACUGGUCCCGUCUCGUAUCUGUGCUCAGAGUCGUGCAAUGUGACCUGUGAUGACACCAAAUCUUUUUUUACUUGCAUCCAUUACUGGUAGUCUCUGAUAAAUUCAUCUCAAGUCCUAUACUGAACAAUGAGGGGUUUGCGGAAGUCGUAAGUCACCACCGUAGUCUUGAAGUUUGCAGUUUGUAAAUCUGAUCUAUGUACGAUACAAGUGUAGUUUGGAGCACUUCAGGUGUGGCUUAACGGCCAGCACUCGGCUAUAAAGUGCAGCAACAUUGUAUUUGCUGUUCUAGUGUGUAGUUCGGCCCAAAGCAGUGCUCUGUUUCCUGGGGGUGAGGCUGACUAUUUACAUGUGUAGUUUGGAGCAGUUCUGAGACAACACUAGACAAGUUAAACCCAAAAUUUUGGAGCAUGUUACUGGAAACAAAGAAAAGUACACUUUCAAUACGAACUGUCUUACUCCAUUUUACAGCUUAAAUGACGAAUAGUUAAAGAAUCAACUGAACGUAACAGCAUAUUGUAAGGCACUAAUCUGAUACCUCCACACCGUCACCCCACAUCAUACCUCAAACUUAUUCAAGUUUAUUAUGAGUAUAGUAUCUUUACAUCAGUACGUAUAAAAACUCCAGCACUAGAGAACAGCAUAAUGCAAGAAAGUAAGAAACGGAAUUCCUAACUAUCACUCAAGUAAAAUUCUGCUAUGUGCGUGAAUCCUUUUUUUUUGUCUUUUCUUUUUUUAGAGGCGUGAAUCGAUUUUUUCAGUCCGAUCUGUUGUUCUUGUGCGCCCGUUCGAGCCUCUUCUACGGCCCAGUUUUGCAACGCUCUUCACGGAUGCCAACCCAGUUAUUUUCAGCCUGCCACUCGGGCUUUUCUUCACGUGGACUCUAUAAUAGUCACGUCAUGCCUCUAAAAUAACAGAAAACUAUAACUUCUACAAGCUUUUUUUUAAGCAUAACUCCCAGUAUUUAAGAUCCGUGCUAUAGUAUAUUGAUAGGAUGGUUAAGAUAAGGUGGGGGAGCAAUCGAACCAUACAUAAAUACCUCCCCUCCCAAGCCUACUAUAAAUAAAUAAAUCUUGUAUCACCGUCUGUACGAAAAUGUUGAAACAGGCAGCAGGGAGCAAUCACGGUCUGUAGAUUGUUGAAUUAGUUGUACGAAUUAGUGACUAAGAGGAUCUGGACUACCAGUUGUACGAAAUCCUUGUCAAACUUCUUCUAAAUAUGUUUUGGCCUCUUAACACUUGUUGACACGCUUUGCAUACAUGUCAACUAACGCAUUCAACAGCACAUCUAUCACGAGCAAAAGCUGAAGAUACAAAUGCCGUGGUAACUAAAUUUGGAACAAUGCUUUCAUGCUUCUUGUCAGGAAACAGUUUCCCAUGUGUAGACCCUACAACCAUGCAUGGUGGUUCAAAGAACAAUGCCAAUAUACCUGAGCUCAACAAACAUGUGCUGAGCAUCCUCUUCCUCCCUGCGCCUAAUAACAUACUUCUACAACAGGCUGCACCGAGGAUUAUUAGUGAAAGAGAUGUAACUUAAGCCAUGUUUGACCACUGAUCCAUGGAUCCACCUCCAUUAUUGCGCAAAUUGUUGAAUGCGUAGCCAUCUUGAGUUCUUUUUUGAUGCUUAUUUUAUUCUGCGCGCUGCUUAUUUUAUUAUUAAAAGUGAUCGGUCUGCCGGUAGUCGGCAGCGAUGGCUUUGCCGAUCUCGUUCGUGUUGGGCAUCCGUGCUACUUUGUGGGACGAUGGGUAUGGCAGAAAAGGUAAGAGUGCCAAUUUGGUUUCAUCCAUGGCUAUGAGCCUUCCUGUAGUGCUGGACUGCUGGUUGACUCAACUGGAAGGGGGCCGUAUUUUUGUCCAGAAUGCAUUUGCAAAGGUGAUCGCCUGACAAAAGUGCUGCUUCGAGCCAAGAUUUGCCAAGCAAAUUACCAUGUAAUUUGUUCAUAAAUCAUAAUGUAGCAAUCCAUGCAUAUCUGUCAUCCCUGGACGCCUCGAUCAAUGAACAUUGCCACACACCUCUCGGAUAUCUGAAUCUGCAUGACAGGAGCCCUCGGGCACUGACGCGAGCUCCGGCGCACUGCCGCCUGAUCAUGCUGGCCAGCUUAACCAGCCUCUCCUCCAUCCGCACGGUAGCGUCCUCCACCAGGGCAGCAAGCCAGCAAGGGCAAGGUCCUCGGGCGCCCGGACGUGGCCGCACUCCAGCGACGAGUCCGUCUCGCGGGCCAGCCCCAGCGCGCCGGCGACGCGGCCUGCCUCCGCAGCGCCGCCAUGAAUACCUCCUCGCCCGGCCGCUGCGACAGAACUAACACGGCCCGCCGGAUGUCCUCCGCUUCCUCCGCGAUGAUCUCCGCCUCCCGCCGGGCUAUGAGCUCGAUGUUCUCCACCUAGUCCCCACACUCUGGAGGGUUGGCCUCGACGUCCUGCAGCACCCCCACCAGAAACCGUAGGGCCCUAAAAUCAUUCUCGAGACCUUGAUCGUCAUUAGCACCGUUCUCCAACAGAUCCUGUCAUUAGGACCGCCAUGGUAUCUACCAUUGUGCUUGGGUUUAGUAGUUUCGUAAUCGAUGUAUUGAUAGGAGAGCCAGGAGGGACGGCAUAUGUUUGGGGUAGCAGCAUAUCUAAUCAGAGUCAUCUACGUUCACGCGUUCAUACCGGAUCGGAGACGCGACGGGAAAGUCGGAUCAAACUUGGUUGAAGUCGAGGUGGGGUCCACACGUCAAUAAUUGAAGUUGGACCAAAUCAAAAAAUUUGGGCAGAAGUCGAGGUGGUUAGAACUCGCCAUGAUGGCUUGCCCUCAGAAAAAUAAUGAUAUAAUUUUUUGUACAUAGACAAAAAUAAAUUAAUAUGGAAAAUUGUCGGAUUAGGCCACAUUGUUGCGUUAAAGUUUCUUUUAGAAAAAUACAUGGUUUCUGGCAGCACUCCACUCCAAAAAACAGUUCCACUUCACUAGCUCCACAAAAUUGCCUGCCAAACAUGUUCAGCUCCACAAACUCCAGCUCCAGAAAAAACGUGAAGCUAGGGGUCAGAUCCACAUUUUUCCUGGAGUACCUUAGGGGUGCUCCAAAAACAUCAAUUUUAGACUUCCUCGUGGAGUUGGGGGUUAUUUACCCAUCUUUGCCACUCGUUACACGACACCUAAUUUUCCCUUUCCGCUCAUUAUCUCCGUUUCCUCCCUCUAGCCAUCCCUUACCAGCACCGCGCCAUCCUCGCCAAUCGACGCUGCGCUGCCCACGUGGCCCUCGCCUAACGGAGCUGCGCUAGUGCGCUACCGACGCCAUCGUCACCCUCCGGAGCUGCACCAUCCUCACCCUCCUCAGCCGCGGCCACGCUGCCCCUGCUCGCCGAACCUUGCCGCCCCUGCCCGCGUCGGUCGCAUGGCCCCUGCUCGUCGGACCUCGCCGCCCUCACCCAUUGGGGCCGCGGGGUUGCGCCCUCUUGCUGGCCGGAGCUGCGCCGCCAUUAUUGCCGCCGGAGAGGACGAGGCGGCGGUGCUGCUUGCCUUUAGGUGGGCGUUGGUGGUGGACGACCCGCGUGGCGCACUCAUCGGCUAAGCCCACGCGAACUCCAUUGCGACGCUAUGCUUGUGGGCCGGCAUCUCGUGCGCGUCGCCGCCCGACAGCCGUGUCGUCACCCUCAACCUCAACGGCAUGGCACCCACCUGCUAGCUCUGGCCCGACGCUCCCCGCGGCUGGCUGCUGCUAGCCGGCCGCAGGGGCGCCAGGGCUGCAGGCACUGCCGACGCUGCUGUUGCUGGCCGACCACGGGGCGCCGGGCUGCAACAUAUCUAGAGAGGACAGCGGCGGUGGCGGGGACAAGGCGCUGCCCUUGGCGUGGAGCUCAGGAUCUGAAAAAGAGAAAGGGGCGAAGAGGAAGGGAGAACAUAGAAGAGGUUGACACAUGGAUCCAUUUACAAAGGGUAAAAUAGACUAUUCACAACAAGUCUUCAUGUUUGUGGAGCUACGGCACUGCGAUCGGCCAAACACAUACAACAACUCUAGUAUUUUUGUGGAGUUGGUGGAGUGGAGCUUAGGUGGAGUAGAGUUGGUGGAGUGGAGUUAUAAAAUUUUUAGUGGAGUGUUGCCAAACACCCGAGUAUGAAUCCAAAUCUGAGAACAAUCGUGACACGAAAGAGAAAGGAAGGAAUUGUUAUUUGAACGUUCUAUAAUAAAAUAUUAAAAUAUAAUUAAAAGAAAAUAAAAGGAAAAAGGAGCGGUCAACCGUGGAGCCCUUCGUUCGGUCGUUCCUAGCAUCGGGUCCAUCGCGUGGACUCGGCCUUUUCUUCACGUGGACUCUAAUAGUCACGUCGUGUCUCUAAAAUAAUGGAAACCUAUAACUUCUACAAGCUUAUUUUUAUUUUAGCAUAACUUCUAGUAUUUAAGAUCCGUGCUAUAGCAUAUUGAUAGGAUGGUUAAGAACCAUACAUAAAUACCUCAUCUCCCAAGCCUACUAUAAAUAAAUAUCUAACCUCGUUAGCUAUUCGAAAUGUUGUAUCACGGUCCGUAGAUUGUUGAAUUAGUUGUACGAAAAUGUUGAAACAGGCAGCAGCCAGUCGGACUACCAAUCAUGCCUGUGGCCUACCAGUAUUUGUAUAAAGAAUCUGCGCAUAUGCUGGCAGUCCGUGAGAUAGGAGAGAGCAUGAGAGAGAUGACAGGAUGUGGAUGGAGGUCCGGCAAACGUUGGAGAAGAUGCGGCGCUAAUCUACUGAGACCCCACAGCUCGAAAUUGCUACAGAGAUGUCCUUGUGACGUGGCACUAUGGACACCGUGGGUUGGGACUGCUACGCGGCAGUGCAGCUGGUCAGUCUUCGUCUCUUGGAGGCUAGCGACGCGGCACGGUCACCGAACUUUCGUCCAACUGGAUGGUCGUCAACAAGCUGAAGUUGGAAGAAGACCUCAUUGACUUGGUGACUUGGCAAUUAGAGACUUGCGAGACUGAAUCGGUAUUUUAAAUAGCCUUGUUAUUACUCGCUGCAUCAAGGAGCACAGAGCCAAGCUAUGCGGACAGCCAUGGAGCACCAUUGCUCCAUCCUACUCGUGGCCUCCCUCCUCCUUGCAUCUCCAGCAUGGACAUCGGCCUCCACGGGAAGUGACGACACCGACGCCGACCACCGUGCGCUCAUGCAGUUCCGGUCCCUCAUCACGGACGACCCAUCCGGGGCCUUGGCAUCAUGGGGCGGCGGCAACAUGACCGCGCCGGCGCCGUGCGGGUGGCACGGCGUCACGUGCGGGGUGCGCGGGCGCCGCCGCGGCCGCGUGACAGCGCUGGACCUCCGCGGGCUCGACCUAGCCAGCUCCGGCACCGCGGCUCCUUCAUCCCUCUCGAGCCUCACCUACCUCCGGCGACUCGACCUCUCCGGGAACCGCCUCGGCGGCGGCGUGCCCUCCCCAUUGCCACCCUCCCUCGAGCGCCUCAAUCUCAGCCACAACGCGCUGCAGGGGCCGGUGCCCGCGGCGCUGGGGUCACUGCACCGCCUCCAGGUGCUCUAUCUCAGCUACAACAACCUCACCGGAGCAAUCCCUGCCUCCCUUGGCAACCUCACCUCCCUCACCUCCCUCAGCCUCACCAGCAACAACCUCGCCGGCGCCAUCCCUGGCGCUCUCGGCAACCUCAAAGCUCUCACCGGCCUCUUCCUUCACUACAACAUGCUCCAAGGAUCCAUACCUUCCGCCGUGUUUAACAUCUCCUCUCUCCAGAAACUUGACGUGCAGAUGAACAACCUCACCGGGACUCUGCCCCCGAACGCCGGUGGCAGGCUGCCCAGACUCACGUGGUUCGUCGUUAACAACAACCGGCUACACGGUGCCAUCCCGCCGUCGCUCUGCAACGCCUCCAAGCUGGAGUUGGCACAGAUGUAUGACAAUUCCUUCUCCGGAGUCAUACCGGACUGCCUUGGAACUCACCUCAAGAACUUGUGGGCACUGACACUGGACGGCAACCAGCUGGAAGCAAAUGUUGAUGCUGACUGGGGAUUCAUGGAUAGUCUGACCAACUGCAGCAAUCUGAAGAUCAUUAGCCUGGUUGAAAACAAGCUGGGAGGUGUGCUUCCUGGCUCGAUCGCAAACCUUUCGACGAGCAUGGAGUACUUGGGCAUAAGUAUCAACAUGGUAAGUGGCCAAAUACCUCAGGAAAUCGGCAACCUUGUCAACUUGAACGCCAUUGAUAUGGAUCUCAAUAAGCUUACUGGUAUUAUCCCUACCUCAAUUGGCAAACUUAACAAGCUGAACAGGCUUGACUUGUCCGCCAACAAGCUAUCAGGGCAAAUUCCACCAACAAUUGGCAAUCUCACCGUGCUCACCGAAUUAUCCCUUUUGGACAACAUGCUCACGGGUCCCAUUCCUUCCAGUCUUGGAAGUUGCCCUUUGCAGACGCUGAACCUGGGGCACAAUCGCCUUGCUGGUCCAAUACCAAAAGAAGUUCUCCUCAUAUCCACACUUUCCGACUACGCGACUUUCCACGAGAACAUGCUAACUGGAUCGUUGCCAUCGGAAGUUGGUCACCUGAAAAAUCUUGUGGCCCUUGAUGUAUCUGGAAAUAGGUUAACCGGGGAAAUCCCCAACUCUCUUGGCGAUUGCCAAAUCUUACAGUAUUGCAUUAUGAAAGGGAACAUGUUUCAAGGGAAAAUUCCGGAGUCAUUGGGACAACUGAAGGCCCUCUUGGCUCUUGAUCUUUCAAGAAACAACUUGUCCGGUCAUAUUCCAGACUUCUUGGGUGACAUGAAAGGUCUUGAACAACUGAAUAUCUCCUUCAACAACUUUGAUGGAGAAGUCCCAAAGCAAGGAAUAUUUCUUAACGCCAGCGCAUUUUCAGUUGAGGGAAACUCAGGCCUCUGUGGAGGUAUUGCUCAGCUGAAAUUGCCACCUUGCUCAGAUAAUGGCAGUACUAGCAACAAUAAGCGAUCACACAAACUUGUCAUGAUAGUCUCCACAGCCACUGCCUUUCUAGGAAUCUCCUUGCUCCUUGCACUAUGUGCAUUAUGUCAUCAAAGAAGGAAGUUGAUAAAGGCAGAACAUGCCUUACCACUCAUCAAUGAUCAGUAUGCAAGGGUUUCAUAUGUCAACUUGAUGAAUGCAACAAAUAGUUUUGCUUCUGAAAACCUCAUAGGCAUCGGAAGCUUCGGCUCUGUUUACAAGGGAACAAUGAUAAGCCAUGACCAAGAAGUUGUUGUCGCUGUGAAGGUGCUCAACCUUCAGCAGCGAGGGGCGUCACAAAGUUUCAUUGCAGAAUGUGAGACUCUCAGAUGUGCUCGACAUCGGAACCUUGUGAAAAUCUUGACGGUGUGUUCAAGUAUUGAUUCCGGUGGCCUUGAUUUCAAAGCUAUUGUAUUUGAUUUCCUACCAAAUGGAAAUCUAGACCAGUGGCUACACCACCGUCUCAGGGAACAUGGCACCCAUAGUAGGAUUGAUCUUGUCCAACGGAUAGACAUUGCCAUUCAUGUCGCUUCUGCACUCGAAUAUCUUCACCACUAUAAACCAACCCCGAUAGUUCAUUGUGAUCUCAAGCCAAGCAAUAUUCUCCUUGACAAUGACAUGGUUGCCCAUGUUGGUGAUUUUGGGCUCGCAAGAUUUGUGCAUCAAGACCAGAUUAACCCCUCAGAUAUAUCAAGUGGUUGGGCCACAAGAAGGGGAACCAUUGGAUAUGCUCCUCCAGGUCAGGUUCUAACAAGUACACUGCAUUUUACUUUCAUGAUUGGUUGAAAAUUGAAAUCCACAAGCAAGUAAAAUGCAUUGCUCCGUUUUCUAUCAUUUAACAUUGUACCUGUAGCAUUGCUGAUAGUCUUCUUUUAAUUGCUGAAUAUGUGUGUUCCAAACAGAGUAUGGACUGGGUAACAGAGUCUCAAUCCAUGGUGACAUGUACAGCUUCGGAGUACUAUUGUUGGAAAUUUUCACAGGAAAAAGACCAACAGAUAGCGACUUCGUGCAAGACCUCAACCUUCAUAGGUACGUGCAAAUAGCACUGCAAGAUCAGCAAGUCACCAGUGUGGUAGACCAACAGUUACUGCCAGUACAAGAUCCGGAACUCGAAGGGAGAACAAGCAGCUCCAGUAGCACCAGAGAAAUUACAGUUGCCUGUGUUACUUCAAUUCUGCAGAUCGGAAUUCUGUGCUCGAAGGAACUUCCAACAGACCGCUUGCUGAUUGGUGAUGCCUUGAGAGAGCUUCACAGAAUCAAAGACAAUUAUAACCAGUUGCACUUAUUAAGUACAUAGAACUUUCUGAAACACAGGAUUUCCAUAUCCCGAACCAUUUUACAGUAUUCCGUGAUCAGAACAGAUACCAGGUCCUUGACUGCACUCAACCUAGUGUUGGGCUUUUUACUUUUAAAAAGACAUGAAAGCAUAAGAUUGACGUUGCAUACACAAUGGAUGCCAGUAUUGCAUCCACCUGCACAUCAGGGUCUAGAGUACAUUGUUAGAUUAUCUUAAUAUAUGAUGUGGCCCAUGUAAUUAAAGAGAAUGAUUUUCAUAUGAAAAGAUCGCAGUGUGUGUUUACUCCAAUUAUUCAGAGAUAUGUUGUUUUGCUAUCUACAUAAUACAUACCCAUAAGGCAACUUUUUGCAUCCAACUUCUACUCUGGCAUUAUGCAGUUAUGCCUGUCAUCAUGCAAUCUGCAGAAAUAGAUGAAUGGUAUAAAUGGAGGGAAAACAGAGGUAAAGCUCUUGUUCCAAACCUGCUGAAGUUCUCAUCAGUCACCAAUAAUAAACUGUUCAGCAACAAAAACAUGCAUGAUGCAUUGUUACAUUUUUAAAAGAAAUGAUGCAUCAUUAUGGAUUCUACUGCCUGCUGGCAUGUUUAACCAAUACUACAUUUUCUGCUUCACCAAUUCACUUUGUUCUUCUCAUGAACUUUUGAGCAAGAUCUUUGAGCGCUUGCCUCGAGUUAAGCACAACUUGAUCCUCACUAUCAGGAAGAUCAUCGAUAGCACCCGCUGCCAGUUUUGCAUGUUCAGCAGCAAGAGACCUCGUCCUCUUGAUUCCCUGACUUUUUGAAAGGUAUUUGAGGGCCUACAAGGGUAAAAUUGAGCAGUUCUGAGACCACACUAGACAAUUUAUGAGCAUUUCACAACCCAAAUAGUUGGAUUAUAUUACUGGAAACAAAGAAAAGUACAUUUUCCUUUCAAAAAAAAUACACUUGCAAUACGAACCGUCUUAACAUUUAAAGGGUCAUCAAAUCCCUGUUCAACAAUCUCAUGCAGUUCAGGGAAUUCUUCCAUCGCAAAAAGUAUGGGAGCUGUCACAAUUCCCUGUCCAUACAGGGCAUAUAUGAUUCCUUACAUGUCAUUGAUAUCUUAAAAAGUAAAAUACUACUGAGGAAAUAUUGAGUGAAUAACUGUAUUACUUGAUGGAUAUCAGACAAGGAGGCUUUGCCUAGUGAAGCUGAUGUGCCUGUGAAAUCGAGGAUGUCAUCGAUCAACUGAUAUGCUAUGCCCUGGAAGAGAGAGUGUAGGUCAUCUUAACAGUUCAUGUGUCUAGCAAAAAUAGGAACAGCUUCUGUGUAAGGAAAAAUACAACACACCAAGUGUCUGCCAUACUGAUAGGCAAGAGCUUGUACUUCUGUUGUUUGCUCAGCAAGGACAGCAAUAGCUUUGCAGCUGUUUGAAAUCAAUGCAGCUGUCUUGUAGUAUGUCUUCUGCAAAUAAUAGUCCAUGCUGUACAAGCAUCCAUGAACAGGUGUCACAUUAAGUAAAAUAUUAGAAAGUGUUGAUUGUCAUGGCUUGAUGAACUCAUCUAGCAUUCCUUUCUUUUCUUGAAUCUGCUCGAUCCAGAACAAGGUUAUCCAAGUUUUUAGUAGAUAGAUUAGCAACAAUGAUCUAUUUAAUUGUGAUUGGCAUUAUAUUAAGUAGUGAACAUUUUUCCUGGACUUUGAUUUGAUGAUAGUUGAUGAAAAGUAACGUCAGUACAUAUCCACUCUAAGCUAAACAGCUACUUGCACACAUAUGACAGCCCAAAUAAUGAAGAGUUAAAUAAUCAACUGAGCAUAACAACACAUUCUAAGGCACUAAUCUGCUACCUCCACACUGACACCACAUCAUAUCUCAAACUUAUCAAAGUUUAUGGGUGCUAUCUUUCAUUAGUAAAAUCUCAAGCAAUAGACAAGAUGCAAGAAAAUGAUAAAAUGAAUUGGACAUGUACCUGCAGCGCUGUGCUGGAGUUAUUGACAUCUGCAUAAGCUCACCAGUAACAAGAUUAUUUACAGCAGUUGCUAGUAAUGAUACAACCUGCAGAAUUAAAAAUAAUUUCGGUAUCUUGACGUUAUGAACAUGCAAAAGAUACAGACUGGAAAGGAACUCACAUAAUCUGAUGUUGAAAGAAAUGGGAGAAGAUGCAGAGUGACAUGGCAGCUCACAUGCUAAAAACUAAAGUGAUUUUGUUCUUUCAGUUGUAUUUUUUUAGCCCCCACUCAUAGUCUAUUUUAUCCUCGAUAGCAAUAUUCCCAACAAAGUCAAACAAAGAUGAAGGAAAAUAAUAUAACUUGUUAGCCUUUACAAAGGAGAAACAUCGCACCUCAGUAUUGUCAAGAGACACAGCUGCAGAAAAUGCCCUGAAAAGUAGGAAAUCGCCAGCCAAUACUGCAACCUGCAGGGUAGCAUCAGAUUUACUAACUGUUAUAAGGUAUUGUGAAUAUGACACAAGAUAUAGUUUGACUUGCAUUUUGCCAAGUUUACAGCAUGGCUUGGCGUUGCUUCCUUUUAUUUCUUUUAAAAGAACAUGGUCCAUACUUACGAGAUGAAGAUGUGGAAAAUAAACAGAUACAACUAUUAUCAUUAUUCAUUUUCAGAGGUAUCAAACAGAAAAAUGGGCUUACUUGCGCAUUAAAUAAGAAAUUUUUUCUAUUUUGGUCUCUAAGAACUACGGAAAAAAAAGGGCUAAACCAAAAUACUUUAAUUGAGCUACUGAACAGCAACUAAUUGAUGUCCACAUGUUUAUAUGUCCAUAUUUAAGAAUACAACUUUAAAUUAAGAUCCCUUGAAUUUCCUUUUCCAUUAAAAUUUUAUGAUAAGAAUGAUUACUGAACUAUUUGGCCCUAAAUAUACAAGUUAGCCAUUGUAGAAAAAGUAUAUGAUAUUAC
rnacentral:lncRNA from 1 species